rnacentral:sRNA from 1 species
UAACUCUAUCACCCGAGAUAUAUUGGC